GACGAACGCUGGCGGCGUGCCUAAUACAUGCAAGUCGAACGCUUCUUUCCUCCCGAGUGCUUGCACUCAAUUGGAAAGAGGAGUGGCGGACGGGUGAGUAACACGUGGGUAACCUACCCAUCAGAGGGGGAUAACACUUGGAAACAGGUGCUAAUACCGCAUACAGUUUAUGCCGCAUGGCAUAAGAGUGAAAGGCGCUUUCGGGUGUCGCUGAUGGAUGGACCCGCGGUGCAUUAGCUAGUUGGUGAGGUAACGGCUCACCAAGGCCACGAUGCAUAGCCGACCUGAGAGGGUGAUCGGCCACACUGGGACUGAGACACGGCCCAGACUCCUACGGGAGGCAGCGGUAGGGAAUCUUCGGCAAUGGACGAAAGUCUGACCGAGCAACGCCGCGUGAGUGAAGAAGGUUUUCGGAUCGUAAAACUCUGUUGUUAGAGAAGAACAAGGACGUUAGUAACUGAACGUCCCCUGACGGUAUCUAACCAGAAAGCCACGGCUAACUACGUG
rnacentral:rRNA from 1 species